AAUAUCAAGCAGUUCGUCUUCAAUAACGUGCCGCUCACCAAUGCUGAGAAAAUUGACGUUUUAAGUAGCUGUGAGUGAUUUUUGUUCUAUUUGCGGUUAUUAAAGCUUCCUUUUGACUUUUAAAUAUUGAAGUUUUGGUUUUAAGAAUGAACCCGUCUGUAUUUUGCGCCUCGUAUCACGCAGUGACACCCAUACACUGCACUGUGCAUCUCAGGGAAACGGACAUCAGCCUUAAAGGUCCGAAGUAUCACAACUUGAUGGAAGAGAGAUUGCUACAAUCCAGACUGAACCACCUGGAAAACCAGCUGAGGAGAACAACACUCGUUACACAACGACAACAGCUCCAUAUCCAGAAAACACUCAAUAACAUUCCUAAACCAUCUAAAAACCUUGAUCGUAGAGUUGCAGAAGCUUUCAGGUUUAUUAUGGCAGAAGAAGUCUACAAUCAAAAAGUGGACACCACCAAUGACAAAGAAAAAACUAGCAGUAGCAAGAUCUCAUCCCAAAGUAGUGAUAGUCAUCAUUCCAGCUGUUCUUCGAUAUCUGGCGAGCAGAACAGACUGUUAAGAGUUGUUCAGAGGAAGCCUUCUACAAUUCACUCGAAAUAUGAUAACACAAUUAAAACUGGUGACUCAAGAGCUGCGACACCUGCAUCAGCAAGCAAUGAAAAUUGGAAGGUUGCAAGUAAGAGGAUGCUGCCAGCUAUUCGUUUCCAAAGGCGAGUUUUAGUGAUGGAGCCCUCGUCUACCAGAUCUCAGAGAUCUAAUAUCAUCAAAAUGCAAGAUAAGGGUCCUUCAGAUGACAGGAAGAUAGAGGGUACAGAUUUGAAAAAUAACUUGUGGAAAUCAGCUGGAAUGGUUGUGAAGCAGAGACAAAUAGCAUCUCAACUUGUGCAAAGGAAAACUCAAAACCCUCACAAACCUGGUUUAUUUGUGUAAUUAGUUCAAUUCAUUGAGCUAUGAUUCACAGCAUCUGACCCAUGUCAGAUGCCAAAAAAGCAAACAGAUCCAGAACCCCAGCUGCAGACACCGCAAAAAUCAGAACGUUGGUCAAAAGCAUGGAAAACCAUAUCGUACAGAAGAAGAGCAUCAGAAGAUGUGACAAACAAAUGGAAAUCUCUCUUAGGGGCAGUUAAAAAUAAAAAUCGAUAGUAAAUGGAUAAUGGAUAUUAAUUAAUAUUAAACAAUCUUAUUGUACACAAUUCAAUUAUCUUUCAAAAAUGAUGAAUGUUCUGUUUUAUAUGUCUUACAAUAUUUCUUGUUCUGUUUGUAUGGAUAUUAAGUGUUAAACAUGUCACUACAUUAAUUUUGAUGAUGUAUAUAAUUUUAUGUUAAUGAGCAAAAUAUGUGACCAGAAAAGGUUAUUACAUCACUAUUUUAUUUGUCACAGCACGUGUUUAUAUAAUAUAAUGCCCACUUGACAGGUUAUUUAUUUAAGGGGCUACAGAUACUAGUGUUGAUCGAAUAAGAUUGUGAGUAAUUUUCUGUACCGUUCACUUUUCCUCUUACUAGAGAACUCGGCAUACAAAGUUUUAUUGUAUUAUCAAAUCAUGUAUAACGAUUCCUCAAUACUGUUUUUACUCAACUCAUAACUC